CCUAAAAGAAAAGGGUUUGGAAUUCCUUAUAUAUACAUAAAGAGCCCAUUAUUAGGAGUAGAACAGAAGAGAGACUUGAAAUCUCUAUCCACACGAACAAGCAAGCUUUCAGAAAUUGGAACAAUGCAGUAGUGAGAAUCUCUUUUUCGUUGUGUCUUUGUUUGCUCAAAUUCCAGUUGGUUAGAAGCGGUCUCAGCAAGAAUUCUUGGCCUGGCCUUUGGAGCAUCGCUUAGUGGUAUCAGUCUUCUUAUGUCGCAUCUAGCCUUUUUAUCGUUAAACCUAUGGAUAGCGGCUUUCAUCUCCUUGUGCACUGCCAUGGAUCUUUGUGGGGGCUUCAGCUUUGGGUCUCCGUGUCUAUUUUGGUAUUGUUUGGUUCUAGGAUGCUAAAUUGUUUGCUUUUGGUUUGUGGUGCUCUGGCAGUUUUUAGCUUCUCUGGGUCUUCCAUUGUUUUGAUGGUUUAGUUGCUUAGUUUUGCUUUGAUCUUCUGCCUUUAUAGUGUUUGAUCAUUCGUCCCUUAUGGAAAUUUUGAUGAUUGUGUGAAGUUUACGGAUAGUGUCCUAUGCUAGCUAAUCACUCUGUUAUAUGGCUUUGUGUUCAGAUUCAUGGCAUAUUAUCUCCAAAGGAUCGGGGUUCAAACCUGUUGGGACUAACUCUUGUGAUUAGGAUGGUGGCUUUGGAUGGUGUUGGGUUCCUAGUCCUGGUUUUUGCAUAAGUUGUGGUCUGCUCUUUAUUUUCAUACUGUGAAUCAGCUCUAAACUUUGAACUGAUCGCACAACUCGCUUAUCACUCCAAUGGACUUUGGUUAAAGAAGUGGCAUGAUGUAGGCAUUUGUUGGAAGUAUAUUGAUUUCAAAUCUUAUGCUUUUAGUUGUGGAAACAAGGAAGCAAGAACUUGUUCCCAUUGACAAUGGCUUACAUCUUCUGGUGUUCCUUCUCCAUUUUUUGGAACUUAGAAGUGAAGAGUAAAGCAAAUUUUUAGACACGCUAGGGAGCUAGGAUUAAAAUGUACAAGAGAGUAGGACUUGAAACUCCAAGAGGGUCUGGAACGUCUGGAUAUAUCCAGACCAAUAAGUUUUUGGUCAAAUCAAAAACUGGAAAAGCUGCUCAUCAUACCAAGCGACUUCAGGCUUCGAAACCCAACAUAGACAUGGUUGAACAUAAUCGCAAACGAAAAAUUUAUGCGAAGCUUUUUGAAUUUGAAGAUAAAACUUUUAGAACAUGGUUAUUCUGACACAGAAAUUGCAAAGAUGCUUGAUGAAACUAGAAGGAAUUUGGAUGCCUCUGCAGCUGCCGCCUGAAGUGGAAGAUCCAGUGCUCUGUUAUUAUUUUUUGUUUCCUUUCCUUCUUCUGUGUCUGUUCGCAAGAAAUUAAAACGAAUGAUAUCAAAAAAAUAAAAUAGCUAAAAUUGUUUUAAA